rnacentral:rRNA from 1 species
GACGAACGCUGGCGGCGUGCUUAACACAUGCAAGUCGAACGGAAAGGCCCUGAUCUUGUGGGGUGCUCGUGUGCCGCACGGGUGAGUAACACGUGAGUAACACGUACUUGUCUUUGGGGUAACUUUAGGAAAAUGGGGCUAUUAUCGCAUAGGAGAUCCUGAACCAUGGUGGGGGAUGGAAAGUUACGGUGGUUGGGGCACGAAUAGGGGCUUAUGCGCUUGUUGGGGGGGUAGUGGCUUACCAAGGCUUCGACGGGUAGACGGCCUGAGAGAGUGACCGGCCACACUGGAACUGAGACACGGUCCAGACGCCUACGGGAGGCAGCAGUCGGGAACGUUAGGCAAUGGGCGCAAGCAUGACACAGCAAUGCCGCGUGGGUGACGAAGGCCUUCGGGUCGUAAAGCCCGUUUGUGGGGUAAGAACAGCUGUCGCAUAAGACGCAGCGUUAGUGACGGUAACGAAUAAAGAAGCACCGGCUAACUACGUG